UGAGGAGGAGGUGGUGCUUGUGUGCGACAAGGUCAUUGAGGAGGCUGACUUGGACGGUGACGGCAAGCUGGGCUUUGCUGACUUCGAGGACAUGAUUGCCAAGGCCCCUGACUUCCUCACACUUUCCACAUCCGGAUCUGAGGACACUGCCGAGGCUGUAGGGGCCUAGAAGUCCACCAUCCUGCCCUGCAGUCACAUGGGUGUGGCCUCCAAGCUCCCCAGGAAAG
rnacentral:lncRNA from 1 species